rnacentral:rRNA from 1 species
UACGUAGGGUGCAAGCGUUAUCCGGAAUUACUGGGCGUAAAGCGUCUGUAGGCGGCGAAGUAAGUAGAGAGUUAAAUCACGGGGCCCAACCCCGUGGCCGUUCUCUAAACUGCUUUGCUAGAGGUAAACAGGGGUGACUGGAAUUUCUGGUGUAGGGGUAAAAUCCGUUGAUAUCAGAAGGAACGCUAAAAGCGAAGGCAGGUCACUGGGUUUUUCUGACGCUGAGAGACGAAAGCGUGGGUAGCAAACAGG